AAGUGUCCCACGGCAAAACCCAACAACAAGGAUUACAAUGGCCAAACCUCAACACCACAAGCUAUAACAAGCAAGUCCCGUAAGCAACAAGUUCCACGCAAAGCAAGCCCAAUAAUGUGCGCAUCAAACAACCCAAAGGCAACACUCAAUCAAUACGCAUGAUCAAGCCCCAAUCCAUACAAUAAUGCGCAACAAUCAUUCAACAAGCAACCAAGUCACCACUCACCUUAGCAAUGGCCGAAACCACAAUCACAAGUAACAAUGGUGUUACGGCAACCAAGUUGAACAACCCAAUCUCAAAAAGGGUCCCACGGCAAUGAUCCCCACAAGGAGUUACACAAUGACCGAAACUCUCCCAAGCAACAAGCCACCAAUAAUGUCACGCAAAGCAACCCACAAUGGACACAAUGCGCAACAA
rnacentral:misc_RNA from 1 species